UUCAUUUCAGAUGGAUCCUGUAUAUUUGUGAAGCUUGACAAGGGAGUGUGGUGGCCAGGAUAUGCCUCGGAGGGAAAAGGCUACUUCUAUGAUGAAGAUGAAUACAUAACCCUCAACAAAUCUAAUUGGAAAUAUACAGUCAGUGAUGAACAGCUGAGGAAAUCACUAGAAAGGCAGUGGAAUGACAGGACAUGCUGAUGGACAAGAAGAGAUAGUAGAUGAUAACAUUGAUGAACAAGAAAGGCUUGAAGAGAAUAGCAAGGUAGAUGAUGACCAAGAGAAGAUAUUGGAGGAUGGACAGAUGAAGGACGAUGACCAAGAGAAGAUAGUGAAGGAUGGACAGAUGAAGGACGAUGACCAAGAGAAGAUAG